CCUACGGGAGGCAGCAGUGGGGAAUCUUGCACAAUGGAGGAAACUCUGAUGCAGCGAUGCCGCGUGAGUGAAGAAGGCCCUUGGGUUGUAAAGCUCUUUCGUCGGGGAAGAAAAUGACUGUACCCGAAUAAGAAGGUCCGGCUAACUUCGCGCCAGCAGCCGCGGUAAUACGAAGGGACCUAGCGUAGUUCGGAAUUACUGGGCUUAAAGAGUUCGUAGGUGGUUGAAAAAGUUGGUGGUGAAAUCCCAGGGCUUAACUCUGGAACUGCCAUCAAAACUUUUCAGCUAGAGUAUGAUAGAGGAAAGCAGAAUUUCUAGUGUAGAGGUGAAAUUCGUAGAUAUUAGAAAGAAUACCAAUUGCGAAGGCAGCUUUCUGGAUCAUUACUGACACUGAGGAACGAAAGCAUGGGUAGCGAAGAGGAUUAGAUACCCUCGUAGUCCAUGCCGUAAACGAUGUGUGUUAGACGUUGGAAAUUUAUUUUCAGUGUCGCAGCGAAAGCGAUAAACACACCGCCUGGGGAGUACGACCGCAAGGUUAAAACUCAAAUGAAUUGACGG
rnacentral:rRNA from 1 species